CCGGCACGGGUGAGUAACACGUAUGCAAUCCACCUGUAACAGGGGGAUAACCCGGAGACAUCCGGACUAAUACCCCAUAAUAUGGGCUCUCUGCAUGGAGGGUCCAUUAAAGAGAGCAAUUUUGGUUACAGACGAGCAUGCGCUCCAUUAGCCAGUUGGCGGGGUAACGGCCCACCAAAGCGACGAUGGAUAGGGGUUCUGAGAGGAAGGUCCCCCACAUUGGAACUGAGACACGGUCCAA
rnacentral:rRNA from 1 species